GACGAACGCUGGCGGCGUGCUUAACACAUGCAAGUCGAACGGAGAGGCCCUACUUUUUGCGCGUGCUCAAGUGGCUAACAGAUGGGUAAGUCAUGAGUAACCAACCCGCGCCUUUGGUGUAGCUACAAGAAGGUAGGGAUAGUAAAUAAUCGAAACACCUGGUUCUUGCAUGAGAUCGAAAAGAUACGGGGGUUGGGGAUGGACUCGCGGCUGCUCCGCGGGUUGGUGGGGGAGUGGCUUGCCAGGGCUUUGACGGGUAGCCGGCCUGAGAGGGUGACCGGCCACAGUGGGACUGAGAUACGGCCCAUACUGCUACGGGAGGCAGCAGUGGGGAAUAUUGCACAAUGGGCGGAAGCCUGAUGCAGCAACGCCGCGUGCGGGAUGACGGCCUUCGGGUUGGAAACCGCUUUCGCCUGUGACGAAGCGUGAGUGACGGUAAUGGGUAAAGAAGCACCGGCUAACUACGUG
rnacentral:rRNA from 1 species